GGUGAGAUGGCCGAGCGGUCUAAGGCGCCAGACUAAGGCGGUUGAAGCCGUGGCAAUCUGGUCCGAAAGGGCGUGGGUUCGAAUCCCACUCUCAUCA